UUCAUCACUUACAGCAUACUCAACUUGCCAGCUUCGGCUUUUCACUUUAAAAUUAAUGCACAUAAAUAUAUGCAUUUCACCAUAUCUAUUACAACAACUAUACAUUUACAAAUAGAAAAAAAUUACAAAAAAAGGGAAGACUUUUGAGAUCCGAGUAGAGAUCUCUUGUUCCCCACCAAUAACAUAGAUAAUAAAUUGGAAGUCACCUAGGGGCUAAAUAUAUGAAAAUAGCGUGUAUAUAUACAAAAGGCAGCUUCACAAUUAUAGUUGCACAAAGAUGACUACAAGAGAGAAGAUUGUCUUCUAGGAUCCAAUGACAUAAAAGAAAUACCCUCAGCAAACUCCCUACGUCAUCUGCUGGCUUUACAAUAAUAAAAAAUAAAAUCGCCCUUCAAUUAAAAAUUUGAAGGGAAAAAAAAGAAUCAUUGGAUUAGUGAGAGCAGGGUCAAAGGCUGAAAUCAUUCGUAGUACAUUGUAUUUCAGCAUACAAACAAAACAAAUCUACCCAUAUCCCUAACGAGCCACUUCAUGACAAUGAUUGAACUUUCUCCAGAACACGCAUUCUAAAUCCUGCUGCUAGAAGUCUAGAGCACCCCUUCAUUCCACAUACUGCCCCCUGGUGUAAAAUGCAGGACAAAGAUUUCAUAUCCUCCUUAUAUUGCUCGCAACACAAUUAACACAAUUAAGCAAAGGAGAAGAACAGCCCAGACAACUACUUGAACAGGUCGACUAUAUUGCAUUUGAUAAUGAGACCGUUGAAGCUGUCUCUGUAUAACUCCAUACCAGCCAUAAAGCUGCUUAUCAUAACACUCAUCACAACCAUCCAAGCAGCUCUUACUUUUUUCAUAAUAUGAACACAUGCCCCUGGUCAAUUGUGAAGAAAACAAGCGUGCAGUAUCAGAUUCUUUAUUACUAUCCAGUGCCUUCCAUUUCCUACCACCACUCUUUGGCAACUUGAAUUUGGAUGCACAAUCCAUGGAACUUAAAAAUCCUGAUAAACUAGGUACUUUUCGCAGGGGUUGCCCAUUAGAAGAAUUUGCUUGACAGCUAACUCCAGCGAUUGCAAUCUUCCAACCGCCAAUGUCAGCACUAGCACUGGCUGUCCUCCUAUGCCCAUGAGAUUUCUCAUCCCUGGCAUCCAGGGAAUCCCAUUCGACUGAAUGAUUUGAGCUCUUCAAACAAUCAGCGGUCAAUUCUUUAACCAUCCUUUGUUGGUUUUCAUCAUCUAUGUUGUGAUUUUUGACAGUAGCAGCGUCUCCAAAUGCUGAUGGCCCCGACAAAAACAAUGCAAGUUCAUUACACUCGCCUUCAUCUAAUCGCACCCAAGGCGACGAUGUCUUGCCCUCCAAAAGGGCAGAUUCUUUUAAUGAAUGUUCAAUUUUUGAAAUCUGGUCCUCAAUUGCUAUGAUAAAUUCCCGAUGCCUGUCUCUUGCAUCCUCGAUAAAGGUUUUAUUGUAACUCAACCUGACAGCACGUUGAAACUCGUCUAACUGCCAUUUGGUGGUGCCAAGGGCAAUACGAAGGUCACGGCGGAGUUCCUCAGAAUUCCACAAACUUGACGCAUCUUUCUUUGCGUGAAUCCAAGUUCUAUACGUUGAUUCCAUCCUGUCCGCUGAUUCUUGAACUUCCUCCGCCGCAGAGAAGAAAGGAUCCUUCUCCCAUCGAUCAAAACUUGAAGCCAUAUGAUACCAGCGACGCAAAAUUAAAUUAAUUUUCACCAAAAACGAAUAGAAGAUAUAAAAAUAGAUUAUGGGUAAAUUAAAAGAAAAAACCUAGUUGAUAGAUUCUGCGUCCUCAAAUCUCGUAAUUAGCCUUUGUUAUAACUGAAAAUCAAGCAGAAGCUAAGAUUAUAAUCUAAAAUGGAUGGAAGGGAAGGAAGCAGAAGUGCUUUUGGGUUAGAUGCACAAAAUGUGGGACAA
rnacentral:misc_RNA from 1 species